rnacentral:rRNA from 1 species
CCUACGGGAGGCAGCAGUGGGGAAUAUUGCACAAUGGGGGAAACCCUGAUGCAGCGACGCCGCGUGAGUGAAGAAGUAUUUCGGUAUGUAAAGCUCUGUCAGCAGGGAAGAAAAUGACGGUACCUGUCCAAGAAGCCCCGGCUAACUACGUGCCAGCAGCCGCGGUAAUACGUAGGGGGCAAGCGUUAUCCGGAUUUACUGGGUGUAAAGGGGGCGUAGACGGUAGGGCAAGGCUGGAGUGAAAGGCGGGGGCUCAACCCCCGGACUGCUCUGGAAACUGCCAGGCUGGAGUGCAGGAGAGGUAAGUGGAAUUCCUGGUGUAGCGGUGAAAUGCGUAGAUAUUAGGAGGAACACCAGUGGCGAAGGCGGCUUACUGGACUGUAACUGACGUUGAGGCUCGAAAGCGUGGGGAGCAAACAGGAUUAGAUACCCGUGUAGUC